UACAGAGGUGCCAAGCGUUAGGCGGAAUCACUGGGCUUAAAGCGUGUGUAGGCGGAUUUGUAAGUACCUUGUGAAAUCCCACGGCUCAACCGUGGAACUGCUCGGUAUACUGCUUAUCUUGAGCCACUUAGGGGCUACCGGAACAAAUGGUGGAGCGGUGAAAUGCGUAGAUAUCAUUUGGAACGCCAAUGGUGAAAACAGGUAGCUGGGAGUGUGCUGACGCUGAGACACGAAAGCCAGGGGAGCGAACGGG
rnacentral:rRNA from 1 species